UAGAGUUUGAUCAUGGCUCAGGACGAACGCUGGCGGCGUGCUUAACACAUGCAAGUCGAACGAUGACGGUGGUGCUUGCACCGCCUGAUUAGUGGCGAACGGGUGAGUAACACGUGAGUAACCUGCCCUCCACUUCGGGAUAACCUCGGGAAAUCGUGGCUAAUACCGGAUAUGAGCACUCAUCGCAUGGUGGGUGUUGGAAAGAUUUAUCGGUGGGGGAUGGACUCGCGGCCUAUCAGUUUGUUGGUGAGGUGAUGGCUCACCAAGACGAUGACGGGUAGCCGGCCUGAGAGGGCGACCGGCCACACUGGGACUGAGACACGGCCCAGACUCCUACGGGAGGCAGCAGUGGGGAAUAUUGCACAAUGGGCGAAAGCCUGAUGCAGCGACGCCGCGUGGGGGAUGACGGCCUUCGGGUUGUAAACCCCUUUCAGUAGGGAAGAAGCGAGAGUGACGGUACCUGCAGAAGAAGCGCCGGCUAACUACGUGCCAGCAGCCGCGGUAAUACGUAGGGCGCAAGCGUUGUCCGGAAUUAUUGGGCGUAAAGAGCUUGUAGGUGGCUUGUCGCGUCUGCCGUGAAAACCCGAGGCUCAACCUCGGGCGUGCGGUGGGUACGGGCAGGCUAGAGUGUGGUAGGGGAGACUGGAACUCCUGGUGUAGCGGUGAAAUGCGCAGAUAUCAGGAAGAACACCGAUGGCGAAGGCAGGUCUCUGGGCCAUUACUGACACUGAGAAGCGAAAGCAUGGGUAGCGAACAGGAUUAGAUACCCUGGUAGUCCAUGCCGUAAACGUUGGGCUCUAGGUGUGGGGGACAUUCCACGUUUCCGCGCCGUAGCUAACGCAUUAAGUGCCGCCU
rnacentral:rRNA from 1 species